UUUUGGAAAUGUGCGACCCCAAGACUGGGGCGAGGCUAGACAAUUUUUCUGGGAGCCCGGAAUGUUUCUUCUCUGCCCCGCCCACCAGGGAUAUCUAAAGGGGGCGGGGUGGAGGUGGAGGCAGGUUGGGGGUACGAAGAGCGCGGGAUUUGAUCUAGGGUAAGAAUUUGAUACAGACUUGGCGUCUGUUUGCGAAACAAGGAGGAAACAGACGCCCGUUUAAUUCAUUUCCCUGUCCUUGCGCAUUUGGGGGCCACCACCCUUGAUCCCUUCUUCACUGUAAAAUCGCCGGUGAAGAAAUAUACUAAAUUAUUCUGUGCAGAUUACCCAAGAGAACGGAAGACCCGUGCACUUACAAUAACGUGCUUCGGUUGAUGUGAAUUUGAGAAUUUGCGGACCUCUGUGCGAAUUAGUGUUAGUUCGCUGUCCUGCCAGCACAGCUGUGUGCAAGUUGACAAACUCUACACACAUCGGUACAUCCCCAAGAACAAUGAAUGCAGCCACAAUCUCUACGAGCACUGAGGAAUCAUCAGUCACAAACGUCAGUCAAUGUACUGGUCGCUCCCGUUUGCAUCCCAGAACUCUGGUGAAAGCGGCACUCGAAGCAGUAAUUUUUGCUUAUUGCAUGUAUUCUUCACCCACUCAUACAGCAAAUACUCAAUGAGCUCCUCCUGGCCGCCGGGUACUCUUCUAUAUAUUGAGAACACAAUGCAUUGCUAUGAGAAUCCAGUUCUUCAGUUAUUUUCCGAAGAUUUAGACAACUAUUUCCACCUUGAGACAUCUGUAGAGACUAAAUAAAAAGCAGAGUAACUGAGACAGAAAUAUGUGGUAUUUCAUCCAGCCAAGUUGCAAUUGUAAUGUUCAUCAUCUUUCCACUGGGGGAGGCUGGUGAAAAAUAAACCCAAGCCAAAAAGGAAGCCAUCAAGAGGCCACUAGAAAAACAAAUUGACUGUGAAAGCCUAAAUAACAAUAAUCUCAUAGUGAUGAUAUACAUUAUAUGGUGCAUAAAGAUAGAUAUGUCAUCCGUUUCUUUGUUUAUUCAUUCAUUCAGCUUAAUAGUUAAGAACAUAGACAAUGGAGCCAGACUGCCUGUUUUAAUCCUAACAUUGCUAUUUAUUACUAGUGUGUGACCUAGUUCAAAUUACUCAGCCUCUCUGGGCCUCUGUUUCCUUAUCUGCAAAAUAGUACGUACCUCAUUGGGUUGUUUAAAAUUUGUUCUUCGAACAGUGCCUGUCACAUAGUAAACAUUACAGAAGUGUUUGUGAGAUUAACACUCACAAGUGUUAGUAAGUUUGACAAGUUAUAUGGUUUGACAAGUGAUAUGGUUAGGCUGUGCCUCCAGCCAAAUCUCAACUCGAAUUGUAUCUCCCAGAAUUCCCACGUGUUGUGGGAGGGACCCAGGGGGAGGUAAUUGAAUUAUGGGGGCUAGUCUUUCCUAUACUAUUCUUGUGAUAGUGAUUAAGUCUCACAAGAUCUGACAGGUUUAUCAGGGGUUUCUGCUUUUGCUUCUUCCUCAUUUUCUCUUGCCGCCACCAUGUAAGAAGUGCUUUUCGCCUUCCCAUGAUUGUGAGACCUUCCCCAGCCACGUGGAGCUAUAAUUCCAAUUAAACUUCUUUCUUUUGUAAAUUGCCCAGUCUCUGGUAUGUCUUUAUCAGCAGUGUGAAAAUUGACUAAUACAACAAGUGUGCAUUGAGCAACUAGUAUGGUCCAGGCAUUGAGCCAGGUGCUUGAGAUACAGUGGUGAAUGAGAUAGUCACAGCAUCUGCCUCUAGAACUUUUGGACUAUGGAGAAAGACAAUCAAACAAGUGAUUACAUAACAUGUGAGGAGUGUUUUGACAGGGGGUGUGCAAGGUGUUAUGAGAUCAUAGUGUGGAAGAACCUCCCUAACGCAAGUCAAAGGGAAAUCUGGCUGUUCUAGAAAAGAGCUUUGCGACCAAAAAAGGCAGUAUAAUAUAGUGGUUAAGCGGCCCUGGGAAGUCCAGCUUUCUGGGUUUGUAUUAGCUUUGUGCAAAAGUAAUUGCAGUGGUUUUUUUUGGUUUGUUUUUUGUUUUGUUUUGUUUUUUGAUGGAGGCUUGCUCUGUCGCCCAGGCUGGAGUGUAGUAGCGCGAUCUCAGCUCACUGCAACCUCCGCCUCCCGGGUUCAAGCAAUUCUCCUGCCUCAACCUCCCGAGUAGCUGGGACUACAGGUGUACGCCACCAUGCCUGGCUAAUUUUUGUAUUUUUUAGUGGAGAUGGGGUUUUGCCAUAUUGGCCAGGCUGGUCUCGAACUCCUGACCUCGUGAUCUGCCUGCCUCAGCCUCCCAAAGUGUUGUGAUCACAGGCGUGAACCACCGUGCCCAACUGGUGUUAUUUCUAGAAGAGGAAAACCAAAAUACAUUAUCAACAAUGCUGUUAUUAUCUGUGCACACAGUGGCUCCAAUUUCUAGAAUAUGCUUUGAUAUUUCCCAAGAGGUCCCCCUUUAAACCUGUACUAAACUAGACUUAAAAGGGAAGGGAUAGGAGAAGAAAAUUUUUGUUAUAACAUUAAUUUAAGCAAAAGAUGCAGGACAAAAAUAGUGCUCUAAAAUUUUUACCAGUCUUGUAAAAGGAGAGGUAAAGCUAAAA
rnacentral:lncRNA from 1 species